rnacentral:rRNA from 1 species
CUGGCGGCGUGCCUAAUACAUGCAAGUCGAACGGCUUUUCUAUGGAAGCUUGCUUCCACUGAGAAGAUAGUGGCGAACGGGUGAGUAACACGUGGGUAACCUGCCCAUAAGAGGGGGGAUAACAUCCGGAAACGGGUGCUAAUACCGCAUAGUUUUCUUGAUUGCAUGAUUGAGAAAGGAAAGACGGCCUUUGUGCUGUCGCUUAUGGAUGGACCCGCGGCGUAUUAGUUAGUUGGUGAGGUAACGGCUCACCAAGACGAUGAUACGUAGCCGACCUGAGAGGGUGAUCGGCCACAUUGGGACUGAGACACGGCCCAAACUCCUACGGGAGGCAGCAGUAGGGAAUCUUCCGCAAUGGACGAAAGUCUGACGGAGCAACGCCGCGUGAGUGAAGAAAGGUUUUCGGAUCGUAAAACUCUGUUGUCAGAGAAGAACAAGUUGGAGAGUAACUGCUCCAGCCUUGACGGUAUCUGACCAGAAAGCCACGGCUAACUACGUGCCAGCAGCCGC